rnacentral:rRNA from 1 species
AGUGAACGCUGGCGGCGUGCCUAAUACAUGCAAGUCGAACGGAAUUUAAAAGGGCUUGCUCUUUUAAAUUUAGUGGCGCACGGGUGAGUAAUAUAUAGCUAAUCUGCCCCUUGCUGGAGGACAACAGUUAGAAAUGACUGCUAAUACUCCAUACUCCUUUUUAUCAUAAGAUAAAUCGGGAAAGAAUUUCGGCAAGGGAUGAGACUAUAUCGUAUCAGCUAGUCGGUGGGGUAACGGCCUACCGAGGCUAUGACGCGUAACUGGUCUGAGAGGAUGAUCAGUCACAUUGGAACUGAGACACGGUCCAAACUCCUACGGGAGGCAGCAGUAGGGAAUAUUGCGCAAUGGGGGAAACCCUGACGCAGCAACGCCGCGUGGAGGAUGACACUUUUCGGAGCGUAAACUCCUUUUGUUAGGGAAGAAUAAUGACGGUACCUAACGAAUAAGCACCGGCU